UGGCCUACGGGCGGCUGCAGUAGGGAAUAUUGGUUAAUCUGCGAAAGCGGGAACCAGCAACGCCGCGUGCACGAUGAAGGCCUUCGGGUUGUAAAGUGCUUUUUGAGAGGAUGAGGAAGGACAGUACUCUUAGAAUAAGCUUCGGCUAACUACGUGCCAGCAGCCGCGGUAAAACGUAGGAAGCGAGCGUUAUCCGGAUUUACUGGGCGUAAAGCGUGUGUAGGCGGUUUGAUAAGUUGGAUGUGAAAGCUCCUGGCUUAACUGGGAGAGGUCGUUCAAAACUAUCAGACUUGAGAGUGGUAGAGGGAGGUGGAAUUCCGGGUGUAGUGGUGAAAUGCGUAGAUAUCCGGAGGAACACCAGUGGCGAAAGCGGCCUCCUGGCCCAUUUCUGACGCUCAGACACGAAAGCUAAGGUAGCAAACGGGAUUAGAUACCCUAGUAGUC
rnacentral:rRNA from 1 species